AGUCGAGGGGCAGCGGGGGUAGCAAUACCCGCCGGCGACCGGCGCACGGGUGAGUAACGCGUAUGCAACUUGCCUAUCAGAGGGGGAUAACCCGGCGAAAGUCGGACUAAUACCGCAUGAAGCAGGGGUCCCGCAUGGGGAUAUUUGCUAAAGAUUCAUCGCUGAUAGAUAGGCAUGCGUUCCAUUAGGCAGUUGGCGGGGUAACGGCCCACCAAACCGACGAUGGAUAGGGGUUCUGAGAGGAAGGUCCCCCACAUUGGUACUGAGACACGGACCAAACUCCUACGGGAGGCAGCAGUGAGGAAUAUUGGUCAAUGGGCGUAAGCCUGAACCAGCCAAGUCGCGUGAGGGAUGAAGGUUCUAUGGAUCGUAAACCUCUUUUAUAAGGGAAUAAAGUGCGGGACGUGUCCCGUUUUGUAUGUACCUUAUGAAUAAGGAUCGGCUAACUCCGUGCCAGCAGCCGCGGUAAUACGGAGGAUCCGAGCGUUAUCCGGAUUUAUUGGGUUUAAAGGGUGCGUAGGCGGCCUUUUAAGUCAGCGGUGAAAGUCUGUGGCUCAACCAUAGAAUUGCCGUUGAAACUGGGGGGCUUGAGUAUGUUUGAGGCAGGCGGAAUGCGUGGUGUAGCGGUGAAAUGCUUAGAUAUCACGCAGAACCCCGAUCGCGAAGGCAGCCUGCCAAGCCAUGACUGACGCUGAUGCACGAAAGCGUGGGGAUCAAACA
rnacentral:rRNA from 1 species